CGCAAAUUUCUUGUUCUAAAAUUUUCUUUCACAAAUUUUUUUUUAAUUGUCCCCCAGACACGUUUCUAAUAAAAAAAAACUAUUUUGGACGAGAAUUUGGUUCAAAUUUACUCUUUCAUUCCAGCCGUAAAGGUCAACUUUUUUCAAAUGGUCCGCAAAUCCUUCAACCCAAAACUUCUGAGGUCAAAUUUUGAUAUGUGAUGGUGGCUGAGGUCAGCUACCAUAAUAUGUAGUCGGCCCCUCAGAACAAUGAUGUUGCAGAGAUACAGCACUCUUUGAAAGUUGACCAUACUUUGACUGCUGGCUGGCCAUGGGUGGUGAGUGCGGAAGUCAGGGUGGGCUCAAAUUGUCGGCAGUGGACAGGCCAACAAUCCUACAAAGUUUUAACUUUUUGGGCUCCUUUUUCCUCAAGAUAUUGCUAAAAAAGUGUAUUCACCACCCCUUGACAUCAUGUACACACAUUACACCCAAACUGGAUUUUUUUUGUAAAAAACGGCAGACACCCAUUCGCUAGAAUUAAACGACGAAUCGAAAGAGCUAUAACUCAAUAAUAUCGGAGAUAGCUUGUUUCAAAAAUUGAAAAUUUGGCUGACGAAUUGGCGAAUUGACUCUUAA